CUCCCCUCUCUGUGUCAGAGGCCCAAGCAAAGCAGAGGGAGGUCAAGCACUGGGCAGCUGAGGACCCAUGGCCAUGAACUUUCAAGAAAACGUGACUCUGGCCAUCGCCGUCUUCACCAUCCUCGCCUCCAUCUACUUCUUCAACAAGGCUCAGCAAUGAAAAGACACAGGACAGCUUAAGCCAAGAGCCCUGCUCUGCCCCGACCAUGACUCUGGACUCUGAAAUCCAAUAAAUGUGACUGAACCAGCA